GCCAGGAAAGGGGUGGGGUCACAGGCGGGGCCUCGGACCCCGCCCUCCGCCUUCCCCGGGAUUCCGUGCUGUGCGGGCCGGACGCUGGCAUUGGAUUGAGUUCUGUGAGUUGACUGGGCAUUCUGCAUCACAAGGUGUGGCUGGGCACUGGAACAGCUGAAGUCACCUGGGAGCUGACUGGGUUGGACUGUCCAGGAUGGUUCACUCCUACGACAGUGGAUGCUCAACUGGGGCUGUCAACUGGAGCCCCCAUAGACACAGAGACUGAGGACUGAAGAUUAGUGAUCUUCCCAAGCAAGCCCAGCUAUGAUGAGGAUGAAGCAGUUAAUCCCACCACCUCUAGCUCAGGAUGAGAGAGCAACUCACACAUCCCUCUUAGAAGACCAAACUCUGGCCGGUUUUCUGCAUGCCUGAUGCUCCUUGCAGAAACAGAGCCAUCCUGCCUACCUCUGGAAUCCUGGGGCCUCAGGUGGUGCCCAGUCCACAGUAGGAACACAAUAGGAGAUGAGUGAGUAGGGGAGAAGUGAGCAGUUGGAUAUGGCAAGUUAGAAACAGUCCAGCCUCCAGUGGGGCACUCUGCUUACCUACACUUAGGUAAACCCAAAUCCUCAAAGCUCACAAGGCCUUGAAAACUCCCAAUUCCAUGAAUCCUGAUUACAAACAACCCGGAGGAACCAUUUAGCUCCCCGAAGACCAACAGAAUCUGUGUGCAAUGUGGGAGGAGAGAAACUCCGGAGCGUGGCCCAGGAAGACAGGUGGCAACCCUAGAAAUGCUGCAAUGCCUGUUGAAGCCCCUUCCCCCUGAACUGGCCGACAAUUUUCCUUCCAUAUACAUUAAAAGCAUAGUCUGUAUUUGGACCUGAUGGAAAAGAUAUAGACAGGAUCUGGGACAAAGCCACCAAAUCUUUUGUUCCCUUGGACACUCGAUAGAAUAAAUGUUUUCCACGUCACACAGG